UUGGACCUGAUAUCAGACAAG
rnacentral:rRNA from 4 species